GGAUUUCAAGUGAUCAAAUUCUUUUGCAUGCUUACAAAUGAUGCAUUCAGCAUACUUUGUACACGAAUUGGGAGUGGAUUGCAUCAUCCCUAAGGCCCAAAUAAUUGCUCAUGCACCCAUGCAAAGGAGUUUCCAAAUUUGUCCAAAUUUCAAGUGGUGCAAAUAUCAAGUGCAUUGCCUAUUUAAACAAGCUUAAGGCUUCAGAUUCAUCAUCAAUACCUUGCCCAAGCUUUGCU
rnacentral:lncRNA from 1 species